rnacentral:tRNA from 1 species
AUCUGGCUGGCUCAGUGGGUAGAGCACUUGACUCUUGAUCUCGGGGUUGUGAGUUUGAUCCCCAUGUUAGGUG